UACGGAGGAUGCGAGCGUUAUCCGGAUUUAUUGGGUUUAAAGGGUGCGUAGGCGGAUUUUUAAGUCAGCGGUAAAAUGUCCGGGCUCAACCCGGGCCAGCUGUUGAAACUGGGGAUCUUGAGUGGGCGAGAAGUAUGCGGAAUGCGUGGUGUAGCGGUGAAAUGCAUAGAUAUCACGCAGAACUCCGAUUGCGAAGGCAGCAUACCGGCGCCCGACUGACACUGAGGCUCGAAAGCGUGGGGAGCAAACAGG
rnacentral:rRNA from 1 species